ensembl:misc_RNA 7SK 7SK RNA
GGAUGUGAGGGUGAUCUGGCUGCGACAUCUGUCACCCCAUUGAUCACCAGGGUUGAUUCGGCUGAUCUGGCUGGCUAGGCGGGUGUCCCCCUCCUCCCUCACCGAUCUACGCUCGUCCCUCCCGAAGCUGCUCGCUCGGUUGAAGAGGACAACCUUCCCCCCCCUCCCCCCUCCAGGAGAGGACCAGUCUUCGGUCAAAGGUAUACGAGUAGCUGCGCUCCCCUGCUAGAACCUCCAAACAAGCUCUCAAGAAUGACCAUGUAAUGAUGGAGACAUAAAAAGAGAAUGCCAUGUGACAGCAAACAGAGAUUUCAGGUAUGCAGUU